rnacentral:rRNA from 1 species
AACGUAGGAGACAAACGUUAUCCGGAGUUACUGGGCGUAAAGGGCGUGUAGGUGGUUACGUAAGUCUGGCGUGAAAUUUCUCGGCUUAACCGAGGCAGGUCGUCGGAUACUGCGAGACUAGAGGACGGUAGAGGCGAGUGGAAUUCCGGGUGUAGUGGUGAAAUGCGUAGAGAUCCGGAGGAACACCAGUGGCGAAGGCGACACGCUGGGCCGUACCUGACACUGAGGCGCGAUAGCAUGGGGAGCAAACAGG